GAUCGAUCCACCAAGCCUAGUCCCAAGAGAGACUGAAGCAGCUGAAGAAGAACAAGCGUGACUGGGAUGGAGUUUUGCCUUCUGCUGUUAAUGAUAUGGACCUUUACGGGAAGCACAUCAGCAGAGCCUGACCAAUACAGCAGAGCCGUGGACUGGCUCGGUAGGUAUGGGUACCUUCCUCGUCCUGACCCACAUACAAGUCAGCUGCUGACGAAAGAAGGGAUUGAAGAAGCUGUUCGUACCAUGCAGAGAUUCGGAG